rnacentral:rRNA from 1 species
GUCUAUGGCUAUGCCACCCUGAACGUGCCCGAUCCCGUCUGAUCUCGGAAGCUAAGCAGGGUCGGGCCUGGUUAGUACUUGGAUGGGAGACCACCUAGGAAGACCAGGUGCUGUAGAUG